GUUAACAUUAAAGCGCUUGUAUGUUAAUGAAAACCAGUUUAAGUUUUUAUCUUCACAGUUGUUAUAUCACAAUGAAUUUUAACAUUAGUCAGUUUAAACGCAAUGACGUUGUUUCCACUUAAAAAAAUCGUUCGAUUCUAAAAUUAUUACAAUUUAAAUAUGUAGUAGAAAAAUAGCUUAUUCACUAGACUAACAUCAACAAUUUUGUGUAUGUUGAGUUUUGGACUUAACCUUCUGAUAACAAACAGUGACGUUCGCUACUUUUCGGCAAUGUAUAGUCAAGUACGUCCUCUUUUUGUUAACAUUUUAUUGUUUCCGCCCACAACAAGGCUUGUGUUCAUUUUGUUGUGAAGCGUUUUCAAGUUAUUUAAUGAAGACGUAUAAAACUGUGCCGUUGAUUAAUCACUGUAUACUCGUUUGAUUGUUUUCCAUAUCUAUGUUGUGUUGUUGUAAUAUAACAUAUAACCUUCUAAAAUGAUUCAUCAAAUCGCCGAUUCAGGUUCUUAAAAUAGAAACCGUAAUUUUUAUCGCCCGAUAAGUCUUUUUCGUUAUUAAAAAAAUAUAUUUUGCGAAUAACAUGAAGUAAUGAGGUAAAAGUCUAAUUACCAUAGGACAAUUCAUUGGUGCUUGGCGCUUUGUUAACUUUGACUGACCUUGUGCACAGACUCAUAGUGCCGCAAAAAUGCGACUUUUUCCGGAAUGAUUGAAGUUUGAUUUUUUGAAAAAAUGUGGGACUGUGUAAUGUUUUUUUCCCACCUCAAUGGAAAUUCAUCUUCAUACCAUGAUUACCACAAACAAAGGCAACACCAAGAUGCGUACAGCUAUAUAACGUGUAAUCUGUAGUUUAACUUCAAAUAAAAGAAUAUUUAGUA